AUUGUUUGGUGGCGAUAGCGAAGAGGUCACACCCGUUCCCAUGCCGAACACGGAAGUUAAGCUCUUCAGCGCCGAUGGUAGUCGGGGGUUUCCCCCUGUGAGAGUAGGACGCCGCCAAGCAAU
rnacentral:rRNA from 1 species